UACAGAGGUUCCGAGCGUUGUUCGGAUUUACUGGGCGUAAAGGGCGCGUAGGUGGCGUGGCGAGUUUGAUGUGAAAGCUCAGGGCUUAACCCUGAAAGGGCGUUGAAUACUACUGUGCUGGAGGUUUGGAGGGGGGACUGGAAUUCUUGGUGUAGCGGUGAAAUGCGUAGAUAUCAAGAGGAACACCAGUGGCGAAGGCGAGUCCCUGGGCAACACCUGACGCUGAGGCACGAAAGCGAGGGGAGCGAACAGG
rnacentral:rRNA from 1 species